ACAUUUGGUAAGGACUGUUUAAGCCACCUGGACCCAGCAGACCCCAGAGAAAGGCUACAUUCGCUGGUGCUGGAACAAGGUCAUUAAGGGUAAAGCCUGGUACCAGAUGUG
ensembl:rRNA 5S_rRNA 5S ribosomal RNA